rnacentral:rRNA from 1 species
GACGAACGCUGGCGGCGUGCUUAACACAUGCAAGUCGAACGGGUCUGCCCUGUUUUUUGCGGGGUGGGUCAGUGGCGAACGGGUGAGUAACACGUGAGUAACCUGCCCCUCACUUCUGGAUAACCGCUUGAAAGGGUGGCUAAUACGGGGUGUUCUGGCUGUGCCGCAUGGUGUGGCUGGGAAAGAUUCACUUUUGUGGUGUUUUGGUGGGGGAUGGGCUCGCGGCCUAUCAGCUUGUUGGUGGGGUGAUGGCCUGCCAAGGCUUUGACGGGUAGCCGGCCUGAGAGGGUGGGCGGUCACACUGGGACUGAGAUACGGCCCAGACUUCUGCGGGAGGCAGCAGUGGGGGGUAUUGCACAAUGGGCGGAAGCCUGAUGCAGCGACGUCGCGUGAGGGAUGGAGGCCUUCGGGUUGUGAACCUCUUUCGCCGGUGAAGAAGGUCCUGCUCUUUGUGGUGGGGUUGACGGUAGCCGGGUUAUGAAGCGCCGGCUAACUACGUG